rnacentral:rRNA from 1 species
AUACGAAGGGGGCUAGCGUUGCUCGGAAUUACUGGGCGUAAAGGGAGCGUAGGCGGGUUAGUCAAGUUGGAGGUGAAAGCCCAGGGCUCAACCUUGGAAUAGCCUUCAAAACUGAUAACCUUGAGUAUGGGAGAGGUAAGUGGAACUCCGAGUGUAGAGGUGAAAUUCGUAGAUAUUCGGAAGAACACCAGUGGCGAAGGCGACUUACUGGACCAUUACUGACGCUGAGGCUCGAAAGCGUGGGGAGC